CAUACUUGGAUUAAGGGACAAACCUGAUCACCAGGAGACACCCUAUCCAAAUUUUCAAUCAAGUAUAUACUGUAUAUAUAUUUAUAUAUUUGGGAGAAACCUGAUCACCAGGAGACACCCUAUAUGAUCGAACUUUUGAAUGUAUUUCACAUAAGCCUCAAGUUCAUAUAUUUGAGAUUGUGGGAACCUGACUACCAGGAGAAAACCCACAAAGGGAUGGGACUAAUGGGGUGAGAGGGUGGAGAGGGGGAUGGAGGGAGGGAGGAUAGGAGGAGGGGUGAUGGAGAUGGAUGAGGGGUGAAAAGAUGGUGGGAGGAGGGUGAAGAAGUGGAGGAAGAGGGAGCUACUGUUGUCCAGCCUGAGCUGAACAACAAGCAGCCUCCUCAACCACUCUUGUGUCGCCGGCACACAUCUUCUUCUUGUGAAACCAGCUAAAGAAACC